GAGAAACUGAAGUUCAGAGAAGCCAGGGGCCAAAUAAGAACCAGAAGAGGACUGAGGGUCCUGCCGGGCUGACUGUCCAGGAACGAGAGACAUCAAGGGGUGAGAUGCAGGGCUGCUUCUGACUGUCCACAGCAGCUGACUAUGCACACCUGAGGCACCACACGACCUGACUGGCCUGGAACUCACUGCGUAGAUCGGGCUGGCCUUAAACUCACUGAGAUUUGUCUUUCUCCUGCCUGCUGAAAUUAAAGUUGUGCGUCACCCUGCUUGGGUCUCUCCCUGGUUCUGAAACUCACCCACUGGGUUAGACAUCAA
rnacentral:lncRNA from 1 species